rnacentral:rRNA from 1 species
GACGAACGCUGGCGGCGCGCCUAACACAUGCAAGUCGAACGAGCGAGCGAGAGCUUGCUUUCUCGAGCGAGUGGCGAACGGGUGAGUAACGCGUGAGGAACCUGCCUCAAAGAGGGGGACAACAGUUGGAAACGACUGCUAAUACCGCAUAAGCCCACGACCCGGCAUCGGGUAGAGGGAAAAGGAGCAAUCCGCUUUGAGAUGGCCUCGCGUCCGAUUAGCUAGUUGGUGAGGUAACGGCCCACCAAGGCGACGAUCGGUAGCCGGACUGAGAGGUUGAACGGCCACAGUGGGACUGAGACACGGCCCAGACUCCUACGGGAGGCAGCAGUGGGGAAUAUUGCACAAUGGGGGAAACCCUGAUGCAGCGACGCCGCGUGGAGGAAGAAGGUCUUCGGAUUGUAAACUCCUGUUGUUGAGGAAGAUAAUGACGGUACUCAACAAGGAAGUGACGGCUAACUACGUG